AUUGAACGCUGGCGGCAGGCCUAACACAUGCAAGUCGAACGGUAACAGGAAGAAGCUUGCUUCUUUGCUGACGAGUGGCGGACGGGUGAGUAAUGUCUGGGAAACUGCCUGAUGGAGGGGGAUAACUACUGGAAACGGUAGCUAAUACCGCAUAACGUCGCAAGACCAAAAAGGGGGACCUUCGGGCCUCUUGCCAUCGGAUGUGCCCAGAUGGGAUUAGCUAGUAGGUGAGGUAACGGCUCACCUAGGCGACGAUCCCUAGCUGGUCUGAGAGGAUGACCAGCCACACUGGAACUGAGACACGGUCCAGACUCCUACGGGAGGCAGCAGUGGGGAAUAUUGCACAAUGGGCGCAAGCCUGAUGCAGCCAUGCCGCGUGUAUGAAGAAGGCCUUCGGGUUGUAAAGUACUUUCAGCGGGGAGGAAGGGAGUAAAGUUAAUACCUUUGCUCAUUGACGUUACCCGCAGAAGAAGCACCGGCUAACUCCGUG
rnacentral:rRNA from 1 species